rnacentral:lncRNA from 1 species
GUUCAUUGCAGAGAGCUUAUCAGAGUGGAGAGAGGGUUAGGUGUUCAUUGCGGAGAGCUUACCAGAGAGGAGAGAGGGUUAGGUGUUCAUUGCAGAGAGCUUACCAGAGAGGAGAGAGGGUUAGGUGUUCAUUGCGGAGAGCUUACCAGAGAGGAGAGAGGGUUAGGUGUUCAUUGCAGAGAGCUUACCAGAGAGGAGAGAGGGUUAGGUGUUCAUUGCAGAGAGCUUACCAGAGAGGAGAGAGGGUUAGGUGUUCAUUGUAAACAUCUCUGUGCUGGAUGUGUUCCCCUGACAUUUUUACAAUUAUUUACAUAUCAUCCUCUCAGUGGAGGAUUUUCUGACUCAUUUUCAGAUACAAGACUGGUUCUUUUCAGGUAAUAAUGUUUGACACCGUAGAGUAUUUGGCGGAUGUGAAAGUAUUCCGGGUGAAGUAUAAUUGCAGAAACGUGUCUGAAUUAACAACAAGAUGUUAUUAAAGUGGCUCGUUAUGAAAUGGGACAAAAACAGGGCUUGUAAUUACUGUGAUGCCCAUUUACUGAGUAAAUGAAAUAGACAACAGUUUGAUCUAUAGUCUGUCUGUAGAUGUAAUAGAAUGUAAAACACACACACACACGCACACACACACACACACACACACACACACACACACACACACACACACACA